AACGAACGCUGGCGGCAUGCCUAACACAUGCAAGUCGAACGAGACCUUCGGGUCUAGUGGCGCACGGGUGCGUAACGCGUGGGAACCUGCCCUUAGGUUCGGAAUAACUCCCCGAAAGGGGUGCUAAUACCGGAUAAUGUCUUCGGACCAAAGAUUUAUCGCCUUUGGAUGGGCCCGCGUUGGAUUAGCUAGUUGGUAGGGUAAAAGCCUACCAGGGCGACGAUCCAUAGCUGGUCUGAGAGGAUGAUCAGCCACACUGGGACUGAGACACGGCCCAGACUCCUACGGGAGGCAGCAGUGGGGAAUAUUGGACGAUGGGCGAAAGCCUGAGCCAGCAAUGCCGCGUGAGUGAUGAAGGCCUUAGGGUUGUAAAGCUCUUUUACCCGGGAUGAUAAUGACAGUACCGGGAGAAUAAGCUCCGGCUAACUCCGUG
rnacentral:rRNA from 1 species